UUGCGCACAAAAGGAACACAAAUCUAUGCAGCUCUGCUGCUUUUAAGUUUGGACAAGCACCCUGAAUCGCCUCUGCUGCCUUUGCCUGCUUAGUGAUGGUGUUCUGUGAGCACUUAGUCAUUGCAGUCCUGUGCUGAGCACUGCCUGCAUUAGUGCCCGAGUAAGGUUACCAGCAACAAAACAACCUUAGGAAUAAAUAAAAUACCCAAGCAAGAUACUUGCAUUUACCCCAAUUGUUCAUUUCUGAGGUCCUAUCGUAGUGCAUGUGCAUGAGGUGACAGACUUAGAGAGAGGAGCAAAUCAAAAAUGCCAGCCAGAAGUUAUGCACACCUGCUUUCAAACAGUGAAAAGCUCAGGGGCUGUCCUGCCUCAUUCCAGCCUCAUUCCAUAGCCACAGCUCUGGCUGUGUUAAGGUAUGUUUUUGAAGAUGGAAGGAAGAACUUGGCUGCUGCAGUGCAAAGAUGGUCAACCAGUGCCAAGCAGGAGGGAAAGAAGGUAGCAGGGGAGACAAGGCGUUUCUAAGAUGUGCUGGUUGCAGGGAAAGUUAAACUUCAGUGAAACGGGAAAGGCUCCCAUAACCACAUGACUCGGGGGGCUGCAGAUUCAAGAAGAACACCUGUGAAACACUGUGAUUAAGGUUACCAAGAGCCAAGCAGCAGUUUCCUCCCUUAGAUAAUGAGUGAUAAAGGUGCUCUGAAAAUAUGGAUGAGGCUAUCUUUCCUUUCUCUUUCCUUCCUUUCCCUGCUAGCCCUCUGAUCCCCCAGCCCUGGCUGCUGUUCCCAAACAAGACCGCCUUGGCUGUGGAUUGUAUUUUCCCUGAUAUAAAUGAUUCACUUGCAGCCAUGCUCUGCCUCCAGCAGCCAGUAGAACUCCUGCCAUCAGUUAUAAAAUGCUCGAGGGUUUAAGCAGCAGAAGAAGCAAGUUUUAAGGCCCCAAGACGGAAGAGCAUCUUAGCAGAUGUGCACUAAGUAUCCAAGUGUCCCUUUCCUGGUGCUCACUUUUAUGUUUAAGAUUACAAAUGGGGUUAUGAAUCUUGCUGAGGUGAGGAGUUAAGCCAAUAUCUCACUGCUCAGGUACCAACUCUGUUCUUCUUAACAACUGCUGACACAAUGAGCAUUUGCUACCUUAUGGAGUGCAAAUUUUAUUUGCUAGUUUUGGAGCCAGUUAAAUAGCUUGAUAGUUCAGUUAAGGGU